UACGGAGGGUGCGAGCGUUGUUCGGAAUUACUGGGCGUAAAGGGCGCGUAGGCGGCCUUCUAAGUCGAACGUGAAAUCCCCGGGCUCAACCCGGGAACUGCGUCCGAUACUGGAAGGCUUGAAUCCGGGAGAGGGAUGCGGAAUUCCAGGUGUAGCGGUGAAAUGCGUAGAUAUCUGGAGGAACACCGGUGGCGAAGGCGGCAUCCUGGACCGGCAUUGACGCUGAGGCGCGAAAGCCAGGGGAGCAAACGGG
rnacentral:rRNA from 1 species